AACCUAGAUGUAUCCUUACACACACAUCCGCCCGGGUACUACGAGCACAGCUUAAAACCCAAAGGACUUGGCGGUGUCUCAGACCCACCUAGAGGAGCCUGUUCUAGAACCGAUAACCCCCGUUAAACCUCACCACUUCUUGUUUUCCCCGCCUAUAUACCGCCGUCGUCAGCUUACCCUGUGAAGGCCUAACAGUAAGCAAAAUGGGCCCGCCCAAAAACGUCAGGUCGAGGUGUAGCGCACGAAGUGGGAAGAAAUGGGCUACAUUUUCUACAACAGAAUAUUACGAAUGGCACCCUGAAAUAAAUGCCUGAAGGUGGAUUUAGUAGUAAAAAGCAAAUAGAGCGUCUUUUUGAAUUAGGCUCUGAGACGCGCACACACCGCCCGUCACUCUCCCCAUAUAUUAAAUACAAACCCAACAUUCCUAAUUAAAUAUUUUCCAACACGGGGAGGCAAGUCGUAACAUGGUAAGUGUACCGGAAGGUGCACUUGGAAUAAU
rnacentral:rRNA from 1 species